GACGAACGCUGGCGGCGUGCUUAACACAUGCAAGUCGAACGGAAAGGCCCUGCUUUUGUGGGGUGCUCGAGUGGCGAACGGGUGAGUAACACGUGAGUAACCUGCCCUUGACUUUGGGAUAACUUCAGGAAACUGGGGCUAAUACCGGAUAGGAGCUCCUGCUGCAUGGUGGGGGUUGGAAAGUUUCGGCGGUUGGGGAUGGACUCGCGGCUUAUCAGCUUGUUGGUGGGGUAGUGGCUUACCAAGGCUUUGACGGGUAGCCGGCCUGAGAGGGUGACCGGCCACAUGGGGACUGAGAUACGGCCCAGACUCCGACGGGAGGCAGCAGUGGGGAAUAUUGCACAAUGGGCGGAAGCCUGAUGCAGCAACGCCGCGUGCGGGAUGACGGCCUUCGGGUUGUAAACCGCUUUCGCCUGUGACGAAGCGUGAGUGACGGUAAUGGGUAAAGAAGCACCGGCGAACUACGU
rnacentral:rRNA from 1 species